rnacentral:ribozyme from 1 species
GUUUUAAAAACAAGAGAACAAACAAGAGAAAAACAAGAGAAAUAUUUCUCUUGUUGUUCUCUUGUUUUUCUCUUGUUUUUC